UCAAGUGAAGAAGCGCAUACGGUGGAUGCCUUGGCAGUCAGAGGCGAUGAAAGACGUGGUAGCCUGCGAAAAGCUUCGGGGAGUCGGCAAACAGACUGUGAUCCGGAGAUGUCUGAAUGGGGGAACCCAGCCAUCAUAAGAUGGUUAUCUUGUACUGAAUACAUAGGUGCAAGAGGCGAACCAGGGGAACUGAAACAUCUAAGUACCCUGAGGAAAAGAAAUCAACCGAGAUUCCCUUAGUAGUGGCGAGCGAACGGGGACCAGCCCUUAAGUUGUAUUGAGAUUAGCGGAACGUUCUGGAAAGGACGGCCAUAGUGGGUGAUAGCCCUGUACGCGAAAAUCCCUUUGCAAUGAAAUCGAGUAGGACGGGGCACGAGAAACCUUGUCUGAAUAUGGGGGGACCAUCCUCCAAGGCUAAAUACUACUGACUGACCGAUAGUGAACCAGUACCGUGAGGGAAAGGCGAAAAGAACCGCGGAGAGCGGAGUGAAAUAGAUCCUGAAACCGUAUGCGUACAAGCAGUGGGAGCCCACUUUGUUGGGUGACUGCGUACCUUUUGUAUAAUGGGUCAGCGACUUAUUUUCAGUGGCGAGCUUAACCGAAUAGGGGAGGCGUAGCGAAAGCGAGUCUUAAUAGGGCGUCUAGUCGCUGGGAAUAGACCCGAAACCGGGCGAUCUAUCCAUGGGCAGGUUGAAGGUUGGGUAACACUAACUGGAGGACCGAACCGACUACCGUUGAAAAGUUAGCGGAUGACCUGUGGAUCGGAGUGAAAGGCUAAUCAAGCUCGGAGAUAGCUGGUUCUCCUCGAAAGCUAUUUAGGUAGCGCCUCAUGUAUCACUGUAGGGGGUAGAGCACUGUUUCGGCUAGGGGGUCAUCCCGACUUACCAAACCGAUGCAAACUCCGAAUACCUACAAGUGCCGAGCAUGGGAGACACACGGCGGGUGCUAACGUCCGUCGUGAAAAGGGAAACAACCCAGACCGUCAGCUAAGGUCCCAAAGUCAUGGUUAAGUGGGAAACGAUGUGGGAAGGCUUAGACAGCUAGGAGGUUGGCUUAGAAGCAGCCACCCUUUAAAGAAAGCGUAAUAGCUCACUAGUCGAGUCGGCCUGCGCGGAAGAUGUAACGGGGCUCAAACCAUGCACCGAAGCUACGGGUAUCAUCUUUUGAUGAUGCGGUAGAGGAGCGUUCUGUAAGCCUGUGAAGGUGAGUUGAGAAGCUUGCUGGAGGUAUCAGAAGUGCGAAUGCUGACAUGAGUAACGACAAUGGGUGUGAAAAACACCCACGCCGAAAGACCAAGGUUUCCUGCGCAACGUUAAUCGACGCAGGGUUAGUCGGUCCCUAAGGCGAGGCUGAAAAGCGUAGUCGAUGGAAAACAGGUUAAUAUUCCUGUACUUCUGGUUAUUGCGAUGGAGGGACGGAGAAGGCUAGGCCAGCCUGGCGUUGGUUGUCCAGGUUUAAGGUGGUAGGCUGAGAUCUUAGGUAAAUCCGGGAUCUUAAGGCCGAGAGCUGAUGACGAGUGUUCUUUUAGAACACGAAGUGGUUGAUGCCAUGCUUCCAAGAAAAGCUUCUAAGCUUCAGGUAACCAGGAACCGUACCCCAAACCGACACAGGUGGUUGGGUAGAGAAUACCAAGGCGCUUGAGAGAACUCGGGUGAAGGAACUAGGCAAAAUGGCACCGUAACUUCGGGAGAAGGUGCGCCGGUGGAGGUGAAGCAUUUACUGCGUAAGCCCCUGCCGGUCGAAGAUACCAGGCCGCUGCGACUGUUUAUUAAAAACACAGCACUCUGCAAACACGAAAGUGGACGUAUAGGGUGUGACGCCUGCCCGGUGCCGGAAGGUUAAUUGAUGGGGUUAGCGCAAGCGAAGCUCUUGAUCGAAGCCCCGGUAAACGGCGGCCGUAACUAUAACGGUCCUAAGGUAGCGAAAUUCCUUGUCGGGUAAGUUCCGACCUGCACGAAUGGCGUAACGAUGGCGGCGCUGUCUCCACCCGAGACUCAGUGAAAUUGAAAUCGCUGUGAAGAUGCAGUGUAUCCGCGGCUAGACGGAAAGACCCCGUGAACCUUUACUAUAGCUUUGCACUGGACUUUGAAUUUGCUUGUGUAGGAUAGGUGGGAGGCUUUGAAGCGUGGACGCCAGUCUGCGUGGAGCCAACCUUGAAAUACCACCCUGGCAACUUUGAGGUUCUAACUCAGGUCCGUUAUCCGGAUCGAGGACAGUGUAUGGUGGGUAGUUUGACUGGGGCGGUCUCCUCCUAAAGAGUAACGGAGGAGUACGAAGGUGCGCUCAGACCGGUCGGAAAUCGGUCGUAGAGUAUAAAGGCAAAAGCGCGCUUGACUGCGAGACAGACACGUCGAGCAGGUACGAAAGUAGGUCUUAGUGAUCCGGUGGUUCUGUAUGGAAGGGCCAUCGCUCAACGGAUAAAAGGUACUCCGGGGAUAACAGGCUGAUACCGCCCAAGAGUUCAUAUCGACGGCGGUGUUUGGCACCUCGAUGUCGGCUCAUCACAUCCUGGGGCUGAAGCCGGUCCCAAGGGUAUGGCUGUUCGCCAUUUAAAGUGGUACGCGAGCUGGGUUUAGAACGUCGUGAGACAGUUCGGUCCCUAUCUGCCGUGGACGUUUGAGAUUUGAGAGGGGCUGCUCCUAGUACGAGAGGACCGGAGUGGACGAACCUCUGGUGUUCCGGUUGUCACGCCAGUGGCAUUGCCGGGUAGCUAUGUUCGGAAAAGAUAACCGCUGAAAGCAUCUAAGCGGGAAACUUGCCUCAAGAUGAGAUCUCACUGGAACCUUGAGUUCCCUGAAGGGCCGUCGAAGACUACGACGUUGAUAGGUUGGGUGUGUAAGCGCUGUGAGGCGUUGAGCUAACCAAUACUAAUUGCCCGUGAGGCUUGACCAU
rnacentral:rRNA from 2 species